UGGGGAAUAUUGGACAAUGGGCGCAAGCCUGAUCCAGCCAUACCGCGUGAGUGAUGAAGGCCUUAGGGUUGUAAAGCUCUUUUAGCGGGGAAGAUAAUGACGGUACCCGCAGAAAAAGCCCCGGCUAACUUCGUGCCAGCAGCCGCGGUAAUACGAAGGGGGCUAGCGUUGCUCGGAAUUACUGGGCGUAAAGCGCACGUAGGCGGACUCUUAAGUUGGUGGUGAAAUCCUGGAGCUCAACUCCAGAACUGCCUUCGAUACUGGGAGUCUUGAGUUCGGGAGAGGUGAGUGGAACUGCGAGUGUAGAGGUGAAAUUCGUAGAUAUUCGCAAGAACACCAGUGGCGAAGGCGGCUCACUGGCCCGAUACUGACGCUGAGGUGCGAAAGCGUGGGGAGCAAACA
rnacentral:rRNA from 1 species